rnacentral:rRNA from 1 species
GUCUUUUUGAAGUUAAUCUAAAGUCUGACCUGCCCACUGAMUUUUUAAAUGGCCGCGGUACUUUGACCGUGCGAAGGUAGCAUAAUAAUUAGUUUUUUAAUUGAAAGCUGGAAUGAAUGGUUGAACGAGAAAGAUACUGUCUCGAGUUGAAUUUUAUUAGAAUUUUAUCUUUAAGUUAAAAAGCUUAAAUUAUUUUAAAAGACGAGAAGACCCUAUAGAGUUUUAUAUAAUUUAUUAUUUGUAUUUUUUAGAAUUUUAUAGUUAUUUUUAGUAAAGUGUAUUUUGUUGGGGUGAUAGAAAAAUUUAAAAAACUUUUUUUUUAUAAGAACAUUUAUUUAUGAAUUUUUGAGCCAUUUUUUAUGAUUAUAAGAUUAAAUUACCUUAGGGAUAACAGCGUAAUUUCUUUAGAGAGUUCAAAUCGAAAAAGAAGUUUGCGACCUCGAUGUUGGAUUAAAAUUAAAUUUUGGUGUAGAAGCUAAAAAUUUUAGGUCUGUUCGACCUUUAAAAUUUUACGUGA